AGGACGACAAGACCCUAUGAAGCUUUAUCUUAAUUGGAGCUCUCAGGCUCUUAUACGAUUUUGAUGGGAGAUCAGUAGAAAUAAGUCUUCUACUAUCAUAUUAAUCUUACUAGUAUUUCCUAACUUUAUAUGUGUGGCUAGCUACUCUAGGGAUAACAGCGCAAUUUCUCCCGAAAGAUGGUAUUGGAGGGGAAGAUUGCGACCUCGAUGUUG
rnacentral:rRNA from 1 species